AUUACUGAGUUACCGCUCUAUAACCCUUUGUGAACAUACCUAUACGUUGCUUCGGCGGCCGUCCCCCGGGGCGUCCGCCGGAGGAUAACCAAACUCUGAUUUAACGACGUUUCUUCUGAGUGGCACAAGCAAAUAAUCAAAACUUUUAACAACGGAUCUCUUGGUUCUGGCAUCGAUGAAGAACGCAGCGAAAUGCGAUAAGUAAUGUGAAUUGCAGAAUUCAGUGAAUCAUCGAAUCUUUGAACGCACAUUGCGCCCGCCAGCAUUCUGGCGGGCAUGCCUGUUCGAGCGUCAUUUCAACCCUCAAGCACUGCUUGGUGUUGGGGCUCUACGGUUGACGUAGGCCCCCAAAACUAGUGGCGGACCCUCUCGGAGCCUCCUUUGCGUAGUAACUUUUGUCUCGCACUGGGAUUCGGAGGGACUCUAGCCGUUAAACCCCCCAAUUUUCUAAAGGUUGACCUCGGAUCAGGUAGGAAUACCCGCUGAACUUAAGCAUAUCAAUAAGCGGAGGAAAAGAAACCAACAGGGAUUGCCUCAGUAACGGCGAGUGAAGCGGCAACAGCUCAAAUUUGAAAUCUGGUCCUUGCGGCCCGAGUUGUAAUUUGCAGAGGAUGCUUUUGGCGCGGU
rnacentral:rRNA from 1 species